UAACAGCAUUAAGAGCAUUUGUGUGACCAGAAAAGAAAUUCCCUCAAGCGUUGAGGUGAAUGCAAGAAAACCGCUAUGGCGAAAAGCGCACCCAAAGCAAAAUUCAUCAAGUCACCGUCACUGUCGCCGUCACCACUGCUGUGGCCGCUUACCAGUCGCAUUCAAAGUGAAAUUGAAGUAAACGGUGCACAAACACAACCAAUGAAAAGCAAGAAUGCCACUCACCGCCGGGGAAGCGUUGAAAAAGUGAAUAUGCAAACAUAAAAUUUUUUAAAUGUAAUGAACUAAAAUUCAAUAGAGCAUCGUAAAAAGCAGCUUACGCUUGGCAAAACAGUUUAAAUGCAGUUAUUUUUUAGCAGAAAAUUAUUCCAACUUAUUAGCAACGUGUGCGCUGUUGACGGCAUAUCCAAAUAGUCGAUGAUGACGCUGCCGACAAUGACGACGGUGACAACUACGGCCGAUGACGACAGUACAACAGCAACACCGACAGCAAAUCGCGCAAUAGCAUCGCUUCGCUUGGCCCCAAUAAACGUGUCUCAUAUUGCAAAUUCAAUAUACUAUAGGCAAAAAGAGCAACAACAAACAUGCAAUGCAAACUGCGUCGAACAGAAAAAUAAAAGGAAAUUAUACAAAUGAAAUGCAGGGAUGUGUGAGCAUUGAAGAAUAAAUAAAAAUGAAAUGUAUAUAAAUUGGAUUCCAAAUUUAGUACAUAUUUACAUGCUUGGAAAACUUAAUUUACCUUGAAUAGCAUUUACUUGGAUCGACAAAAAUUAUUAAAUUUAAUUAAGACUAUAAUCAAUCAUUUGUAUCAAAAAUAAUAUUUUCACAGAAUAAAAAGUGUUCUUCAAAGACAUUUAAAAAAUAAAAUAAAAUAAACUUUAAAUAUAUGUGUCACCCUAUGAUACCCCCUUAAAUUUAAUUAAGACUUAUGCCCAUAAUCAAUCAUUUGUAUCAAAAAGAAUAUUUUCACAGAAUACAAAAUAUUUGAAGAACCGAGUUUAUUAUUAAAAAAAAAAUUAACUUUAAAUAUAUGUGUCACCCUAUGCGCAUGCAGUCUGGCUAAAAAGUGUCACUCUUUGCGUAUGUAAUCGACUAUUUAUAGGCCACAUUACCAUACAUACAACUUACAUUGUAAGCAAAGAUUGGUGCCAUCGAAUCGCCUUCAUCGAACCAAGUAAAUUUAAAUAUAAACGUUUAUUUUCGACACACCACUCCCUUGAGAGCAAUUUUCAAAUAUUCAUAUUGCCUACGUCAUCGUCAAUGCGAGCCACCACACCAAAUAUUGUACAUUCAAAAUAUUUUUAGCACCAAAACGAAAAGCCGACAAAACAUUUGGACUGUUGCACCAAGUAAUGAAAAAUAACAUUUUAAUAUGAUAAAAACCGCAACAACAGAAGUAAUACGUGAUUAUCUGAACUUACAAAUGUUAUAAAUAGAACACAACGACAGGCUAAGAUCAGAGGCUUAACAGAGGCGUAAAACGAAUUGAGUCUGAAUAAAGUAGUAAAAUUGAAUUAUUUCUGGCACUUUGGGAGAACAGCUGUUUGACCGUGAUGUGACCGGAAGAAAUAUCCCCAAGUGUGAAAAUUAAAAAGUUGGAGAAAACAAAAAACCUAUGUAAGCGUGUGUGCAUGAAUAUAAACAAGUUCCGGCAGUUUGGGUGUGUGGGCGCAGCAUUCAACAGCAGCAAAAAUUUCGACAAUUUCGUAGAAACCGAAAUCUUUCUGCACUUUUUAUUUCUCACCUCCAUGUGUUUCUCUGAGCUAUCAAACACUAAGGAAAUAAUCUCGUGUUGUGCUAAAAAUAACCAACCUACAGCCAACUUUCCAUGCGAAUUUACAUCAUAUAUGCUGAAAGUUGGCCAAACACUGUCGACCAAGCGCACGCAACACGGGAAACAUGCGGCAAGCAGCAAACAACACAACAUACCGACAAAUCUAUACCUAUAGCACAUAGCCAGUUAACAGCUACGAGCAAAUUCCUCAUAUCCGGCUUCGAAUGAGGCCCAGUUAGUGUGUGCUAAAUUGUUGCAUGCGAUCGACCAAUGUUGAAGAAUUGAAGGCUUCUUGCAAUCAAGUGAAGAGCAACAACACAGCCGAACACAUAAAUAUACUUAUAUCUACAAAAAGAUACACAUACAGAUAUACAAUUUGAAAGCAACGUGAAUAAAUGAAAGGCGAAUGUAUAUAUGUAUAUUCAUACAUACACACAUAUAUUAGUGGUGUUUACAUGUGCGUAGUCCCAUUGGAAACAGAUAAACGAAGAAAUGCCACUAUUUGGAAUUAACUGGUAAGACAGAGGCAAUAGUAAAACCAGAAGUAAUAAGCGUGACAGAAGCAACAGAAAAACUGAAGAGAUGAGCAAAAAAUGUUGCUAAUGAGUUUUGCCUGCAACAGUUAUUGUGACGUUGCUUCUUGCAUGCAGUGAAUUGUUGUUAAUGUUCAGACCGCAUGGUAUGCGCAGCAGCCAAGCGGAAUCACAGAAUGGAAUGAGGAAGAAACUCUCUCUUCCGAAAUAAGUAGAUAUUAAUAAAAAAAAA